CUAAGGAGACGUGCCCGGUGGACAAACCCGGAGGAAGUGGGGAUGACGUCAAGUCAUCAUGGCCCUUACGGCCUGGGCUACACACGUGCUACAAUGGUCGGUACAAAGGGUUGCCAAGCCGCGAGGUGGAGCUAAUCCCAUAAACCGAUCGUAGUCCGGAUCGCAGUCUGCAACUCGACUGCGUGAAGUCGGAAUCGCUAGUAAUCGUGAAUCAGAAUGUCACGGUGAAUACGUUCCCGGGCCUU
rnacentral:rRNA from 1 species